UGCACCGCUGGUCUAAUGGUAGAAUUUCACCUUGCCAAGGUGGGGGUCCGGGUUCGAUUCCCGGGCGGUGCAA
rnacentral:tRNA from 1 species